rnacentral:pre_miRNA from 2 species
UGGGUUCCUGGCAUGCUGAUUUGUGACUUAAGAUUAAAAUCACAUUGCCAGGGAUUACCA